rnacentral:rRNA from 1 species
AUUGAACUCUGGCGGCAGGCCUAACACAUGCAAGUCGAGCGAGCGGCGGACGGGUGAGUAAUGUAUGGGGACUGCUCGAUAGAGGGGGAUCACUACUGGAAACGGUGGCUAAUACCGCAUACUAUCGGAUAACCCAUAUGGGAUUAGCUAGUAGGUGGGGUAAAGGAUCACCUAGGCGACGAUCUCUAGCUGGUCUGAGAGGAUGAUCAGCAACACUGGGAGUGAGACACGGCCAAGACUCCUACAGAGGCAGCAGGAGGGAAUAGUGCACAGUGGACGGAAGCCUAGUGCAGCCAUGCCGCGUGUAGGAAGAAGGCCUUAGAGUUGUAAAGUACUUUCAGCGGGGAGGCGUUACCCACAGAAGAAGAACCGGCUAACUCCGUGCCAGCAGCCGCGGUAAUUC